AGGCCUCUGAUCCCUCUAGCCAUGUUCCUACCCAAAGGCUUGACAGCUGCAAGAGUUAUUUCUCCACAUGUUUAGAGUGCAAAUAAAUGCCUAGGUUAGAAUGAGAAAUGUGGUUUGGGCCCUACAGGUAAAUCAGAGCAAGUCUAUGGAGUGGCAUUUGCUCUCCUUGGUAGCUGCGGGUGAACUCUUUGUUUGGAGCGUGGGGAAGGGGGCCAGUCUGUGAGGAGAUAAAAGCUAGGCUUGACUAAUCAGGGCAGAAAUAAACCAAGAGAUUUCAAUCUCUCUUUUUUUUUUUUUUUUUUUUCUUAAGGGAGCAACACUCUCCAUUUGGCUCCCACUCAAAAAAAAGAGGAUGCUUGAAUACAGUUACUUUUAGGAACUGCAGUGAUAUGUAGUGUACAUUAAAGCAUAGUGAUAUGCUAAGAAAUAGAAAAAAAGAAACCUCUUUUUUCCCCUUAGAUUGUUAGGGAAGUGGUUCUACCAGGAAAAAUAUGUUGUGUAAUUAAAAAAAAAUAUAUUAAGAGAAAACAUUUGUUUUCUUUGGUUUAUAUAGAAAGUCUUGAGCUAUGAGAAUAAAAGCCAAAAUCCUAGGAGUUUUCAUGAAAUUCAGUUAAGGAAAAAAACCCAAACCCGUUAAGGAUGGUUGUUUCCCCAAAUGCAAAACAUCAGGGAGGAAUCUGAAAAGAGCUUUACUUUCUGUGCAAAAUCUCCAUUGUUGCUUGGCAAACAAUGGGAGCUCUGGGCGACUGGAAGGCUGUGAGAAUGAAUAGUGAAUCCGCAGGAUGUGUGCGGGUCAGUGCUUGGGGUCUCUGUCCUAAAGCCCCUUUCUCAGCUUGCCACAAUGAAGUAGCACAAGGUUUAGUCUUUCCUGGGUCACCGGCCAUCUUCUAUUAUUCAACACUUCACAACAAAAAACACUUAUUAAUCAGCGCUGACCAGAGGCCCCUUUUGAAACAAGAGAAGGGGAGAAAGAGAGGUGAGAGAGAGAGAGAAAAGAAGAUUGAAAAACCCUGAGCAGACCCUCCCAAUACAAGAGCAACCAUAGGCACUUUCUCAACUGGCCAAAGAGAUUGUUUUUUUUCUUUUUUGCCACAACAAAGUUUCCAAUCAGGUCAGAGAGGACUGGACUUUCCCCCCUACCCCCACCCCUGUUUUCCCUCUCACUUUCUUUCCUCCUUGCUCUGAAGAUGAUGGAGACUUUGUUUUGCAAAGACAGCAACUAUUGAAUCCCCUGUGGAUUACCUGAGAAAAUGAAAUUGUUCUCUCAAGAAAAAAAUUAGUCCACAAGAAAGCUGGCAAAGCAAAGUGGACUUGGUGUGACUGCAGCUUCUCUCACAGCCUCUGAGGACAGAGGGGACAAUGGCUACACUGACAUGAGAAGAUGCAGUGGGAGACGGGGGCCCAGCUACUUUGGGAAACCAGCCAGUUUUUCACAACCAAAGAGUCUCAGGAGAGGACCUUGCUAGUCGUCCCUGCAAACUGAGGCCUAGUGAGAGACUGAAUCCAGCUCUGAUUGGCUGCAGAGUCUAAUCCAGGACUUUGGUUGCCGGCUCUGCAGUUGCUGAAACUUUCAAGAUUGGUUUUGUAUAUUUUGUAUUAUUUUCUCUAUUCUUAUUAGUAGCAUUAGUAAAACAUCUUUAAUUUUUUCCAACCCUCUUCUCUCUGUCCUUCUUUUCCUCCCAAUCGCCUCUUCUUAGUGGAAAGGGGGGAGAGGGAGGGGCAAAAAGGGGGAAGUGGGGGGGGGGGGGGAGAGGGGGUUAACAAUACAUCUGCCAGGGUUUUAUUGUCAUCCCGCAAUCUUAACCCUCGACAGUUUACUAUAAAGUUUUUUUCUUGAGCUGUCUAAAAUAUAUUUAAGUACCUCUCCAGCACAGCUCUGGUCACCUGCAGUUGUCUAAAAAUGGGUCUUGGUCACACCACUUUUUCAAUAUAAAUCAAAACUGUCUCUAAAUCUGGAAAUCGUUAUUUUCAAAGGAACAUAAAGGACUUAGGCAUCUAUAAUCCUUGGACUUUUACUAGGAAUAACAGUGCUGGGUUUGUGGAAGGGGUUUCUUUUGAGAAUUUUAACCUGAAUUCUUCAGCUGCGCUCAAAAAUAAAACAGCUUUUUGUUUGUUUGUUUGUUUUUGUUUUGUUUUGUUACAUAAAAAUGAGUCAUCAUUGCAUUUAAUUCCUGGUAAAUGGACAUGCACUAUGAAAUGAACUUCUCCUUUGUUCUCAAUUAGGCCCAAAAGUACAGCCAAAAUGCAUUUGGUUUUAGACUGUGAUGUUAGUGUAUAUUAUUCUUCCUGCACAAAUAUGUUUACUUACUUCUCAUCCAUCUUCCUUAUUGGUCAUUCCUAUGGCUUUAGCUAACUCACUAAAUGUCGCUGAAGUAGAAUUAUCAGUUGACCGAACGUCUUGAUCUAGUAUAACAGUGUAACUGAAAGGCUAUGUAAUGCUAACUGUUUAGUCAGCUGGCCAAAUGACAUCCUCUGUUAUUUCUUGUCCUUUGAUUUGAAUGCAGUGAACUCAGUUUUAUAAGUAGGAAAUUAACUAUGCAUACUAUUUACACACCACUUGUAGAAAAGCUUAGCAUAAAGAGGUCACCUGGGCUGCAACUUAAUAUUUGAUAGUAUUGCUUGUGUUAUAUUGUAUGUAACUAUGUGAAUACCUUGAAAACACAGUUAUAAGACUGGAGAUGUAUAGUGAUACUACUUCUGGAUCACAUCUCCAGGCUUGUUUGAGCACUGGUGGUAUAAAGCACUGAAGAAGGCAACUAAAUAGGCUUUAUCUCUUUCAAGAUUCAAUACUUUCAGUCCUACAAUCAAAUGAAGAAAAAAAUGCUAAAUCCACUUAUUUGGGUAUUCCACAGACAUCUCCCAUAAAAUAAAACUAAACCUGAUAUUACCAGUAUGUUUAGUCAAAAAAAAGAGUAUAAAAGAAGUGUGAAGCUGCCACUCUGUGUUGUCACACAGCAAAACAAGGAAUGAUGCUUUCUUAAGGGGUGUUUACUGAUCAUCACAGAGAAGCUACAUGAAAAGUAAUUGGAGAUGUUCUCAUUUCUGUGAAAGAUUUAAGUUGCAUUUGACAUAUUCUUCAUGAAACAACUGUGCAUCUUUACAGUCCAUUAAUUGACAGGGUGUAAAGUGCUUGCACAAGUUGCUGCUUGCUACCAUCAUACAUGAGCGCUUUCCAUGCAGACUGGAGAAUCUCAUCGAAGCAUCAUUUCAGGGCACACAAGAAAAUGUCUGUGUCUCUGAGGGACAUCUUCAAGCUCUAAAAAAAUAUGAGAAUUCCAUCUGUGUAAACUGUACAGCAUUUACCUGAAUAAAUUUGUUCUUUUGAGUUCUAGACCUCGCUUUGGCCCUUUUGUAGUGGUCCAGCUGCGUCUCCUCCUCUAUAUUCCCCAGUCUGCAAACAGAGAGAGAACUGUCCAUGAGCAGAUAGUGGCUCCCCAGCCAUCAGUUUGUAAGGCAUAGAUAAACAAUUUGUCUUUAAUUUCUGACACCAAGCUUGUAAUCUUUAAUUCCCCAGAACAUCUGUUCAAACUACUUGGUGAUUCACAUUCUUACAUAUCAUCAGUUCUAGGUGUAGCUGCUCUUAUGUACAAUAUCAGACAUCAAGACCUCUGCAACUUUAAAAGCUAAAGCAGCUUUCUAAGACCAUCCUUUUAGGCUGUGUGGAAUAAAUUGAAUAAAAUGAGAGGUCUAGGUCAACUGAUCUUCCCAAGAAAUACUAAGACAAGAAGAGUAUACAGUGCUGAAAAGAUCCUAGAUAAAGAUGCACUUUCCUAAAAUGCUUAUUUUAUUGUUUUCACUGGGAGAUCACAGAAAACAUGGAAAAUGUGAUCACAGAUGCACUAUAACCUUAAUUCUGUUUUAAUGCAAGAGCAGGUUAAUGACAAUUUGUUUUACAGUCAGGGAUCACUCUUCCACUUUUCCUAAGAGUUCAUCACAUAGCUGGUAUCUGAUAUCUGUGUGCCCUUGGGAAACAGAGGAUCCUCCUUUGAGAUAUACCUGAAGGUCAAUGACUUGUGAGUCCAAGCCCUUUGCAGGACUGGUUUCUACAGGUAUGACAUAAUAGGUCUGGUAUUGUAACAGGUACCAAUACACAAAGAAAUAUUGACAUGUUGGUUUGCUCUGAUUAUCACUAGAAAAGCAGAACUUUUUCAUUUCAGCUCUCUUAAGCUCAUAAUAUAUUAAUAGCAGGUUAACAUCUUAAGUGCAUUUGGAAUACGAUGAAAGAGAUGAAAAUAGAAUAAUAAGAGGAGGGGUGCUCUGACAGACCUUAAAAUCUAUCUGAGACUUCUGGAUAAAACACAGUUUAGGACAAGGCAAGUCCUUUGUGCAAGAACAGGGAGGUUUCAGACUUCAGAAGAUUCAGGCAGCAGCUACAGCCAGAGUAUUUGCUGGUUCUGGACUUGUCCUGCUUAAUGAAAUGGCAGUCACUUUCUGUUAUAACUGUUUCUUAUUAAUUGAAUCCAUUAUCUGCAUAAUAAAAUCAUCUGUCAACAAUAA